rnacentral:lncRNA from 1 species
CCGCUACACCAUCAACUCCUAUUGCUUGUUGCUUUCCUGGAAAAACUACAUGCUUCAGCUUGUCAGUAGUUUUCUUCUCAUUCUUAGAAAGGAUCUGUUCAGCAUAGAACACCUGUGCAGCACGGUUACCAAGGAUCCACGGGUCAUCUUUGUAUCCCACUUUACUUAGAUCAAGAACUCUGACCCCAUAAUUAUCCACUGUGACAUGUUUAUCUUCUACCCAUUGACAUCGAAACACGGGGAUCUGAAAUGUACCAUAGUCUAGUUCCCAUAUGUCCUCGAUGAAGCCAAAGUAUGUAAUAAUAUCACCAGUUUCGUCGUCUAUGGCCUCGCAUCGAACACCACUAUUUUGUGUCAUGCUCUUUUUAUCCUUGGAUUUGGUAUGAAAUGUGAAUCCACUUAUGUCAUAUGUUUGCCAUGUUGUCACUUGGCGUGAUGGUCCA